rnacentral:rRNA from 1 species
UACAGAGGUCUCAAGCGUUGUUCGGAUUCAUUGGGCGUAAAGGGUGCGUAGGUGGCGCCGUAAGUCAGGUGUGAAAUCUCGGGGCUCAACCCCGAAACUGCACUUGAUACCGCGGUGCUCGAGUACUGGAGAGGAGAUUGGAAUUUACGGUGUAGCAGUGAAAUGCGUAGAUAUCGUAAGGAAGACCAGUGGCGAAGGCGAAUCUCUGGACAGUUACUGACACUGAGGCACGAAGGCCAGGGGAGCAAACGGG